UUGAUCCUGGCUCAGGAUGAACGCUGGCGGCGUGCCUAAUACAUGCAAGUCGAGCGAACGGACGAGAAGUUUGCUUCUCUGAUGUUAGCGGCGGACGGGUGAGUAACACGUGGAUAACCUACCUAUAAGACUGGGAUAACUUCGGGAAACCGGAGCUAAUACCGGAUGAUAUUUUGAACCGCAUGGUUCAAAAGUGAAAGACGGUCUUGCUGUCACUUAUAGAUGGAUCCGCGCUGCAUUAGCUAGUUGGUAAGGUAACGGCUUACCAAGGCAACGAUGCAUAGCCGACCUGAGAGGGUGAUCGGCCACACUGGAACUGAGACACGGUCCAGACUCCUACGGGAGGCAGCAGUAGGGAAUCUUCCGCAAUGGGCGAAAGCCUGACGGAGCAACGCCGCGUGAGUGAUGAAGGUCUUCGGAUCGUAAAACUCUGUUAUUAGGGAAGAACAUAUGUGUAAGUAACUGUGCACAUCUUGACGGUACCUAAUCAGAAAGCCACGGCUAACUACGUGCCAGCAGCCGCGGUAAUACGUAGGUGGCAAGCGUUAUCCGGAAUUAUUGGGCGUAAAGCGCGCGUAGGCGGUUUUUUAAGUCUGAUGUGAAAGCCCACGGCUCAACCGUGGAGGGUCAUUGGAAACUGGAAAACUUGAGUGCAGAAGAGGAAAGUGGAAUUCCAUGUGUAGCGGUGAAAUGCGCAGAGAUAUGGAGGAACACCAGUGGCGAAGGCGACUUUCUGGUCUGUAACUGACGCUGAUGUGCGAAAGCGUGGGGAUCAAACAGGAUUAGAUACCCUGGUAGUCCACGCCGUAAACGAUGAGUGCUAAGUGUUAGGGGGUUUCCGCCCCUUAGUGCUGCAGCUAACGCAUUAAGCACUCCGCCUGGGGAGUACGACCGCAAGGUUGAAACUCAAAGGAAUUGACGGGGACCCGCACAAGCGGUGGAGCAUGUGGUUUAAUUCGAAGCAACGCGAAGAACCUUACCAAAUCUUGACAUCCUUUGACAACUCUAGAGAUAGAGCCUUCCCCUUCGGGGGACAAAGUGACAGGUGGUGCAUGGUUGUCGUCAGCUCGUGUCGUGAGAUGUUGGGUUAAGUCCCGCAACGAGCGCAACCCUUAAGCUUAGUUGCCAUCAUUAAGUUGGGCACUCUAAGUUGACUGCCGGUGACAAACCGGAGGAAGGUGGGGAUGACGUCAAAUCAUCAUGCCCCUUAUGAUUUGGGCUACACACGUGCUACAAUGGACAAUACAAAGGGCAGCGAAACCGCGAGGUCAAGCAAAUCCCAUAAAGUUGUUCUCAGUUCGGAUUGUAGUCUGCAACUCGACUACAUGAAGCUGGAAUCGCUAGUAAUCGUAGAUCAGCAUGCUACGGUGAAUACGUUCCCGGGUCUUGUACACACCGCCCGUCACACCACGAGAGUUUGUAACACCCGAAGCCGGUGGAGUAACCUUUUAGGAGCUAGCCGUCGAAGGUGGGACAAAUGAUUGGGGUGAAGUCGUAACAAGGUAGCCGUAUCGGAAGGUGCGGCUGGAUCACCU
rnacentral:rRNA from 1 species